CCCUUAGAUGUUCUGGGCCGCACGCGCGCUACACUGACGAAGUCAGCGAGCAUGUCCUACGCCGACAGGUGCGGGGAAUCUUGUCAAACUUCGUCGUGAUGGGGAUUGAUUAUUGAAAUUCUUGAUCAUCAACGAGGAAUUCCUAGUAAGCGCAAGUCAGCAGCUUGCGUUGAUUACGUCCCUGCCCUUUGUACACACCGCCCGUCGCUACUACCGAUUGAAUGGUUUAGUGAGAUCUCUGGAUUGACGCUGGCUAGGGGGCGACCCUUGGCCAGACUGCUCGAGAAACUGCUCAAACUUGAUCAUUUAGAGGAAGUAAAAGUCGUAACA
rnacentral:rRNA from 1 species